GUGUGUAAAUGUAUGCGCUAGGUGCAAAAUAAUAUUCACAAGAAGCGGCAAAACAAAUGAAAAUCAAAUUUGUAUACACAAAGUGAGCGGCGGCGAAUGAAUGUUGUGAAGUUGCGGCGCAAAAAGAAAGCAAGCAAAUAAACCAUAAGAAAGAAGGAAAGAAAGAAUAAAAAAUAUAAAUUGAAUUACGCCUGCGUCUAGGAAAGUGCGUCGUUUUAUUUUGAAAUCGAUACCAAAAUAAAAAUAUACAAAAAGUGGGCCUCGUUCUACAUACAAACAAACAACAUACACACACACACACUCACAAAGAGAAAUGUUCUAUGUGCAUGCGGGUGUGUAUUUGUGAGUAGUGCUGCUGCUGUUGUUGUUGCUGUAUGUGUGUGUGUGUGUGUGUUGCGUACAUACGUGCGUGUGUAUGGUGCAAAGUACAGCAUAAACAAAUGAAAAUGGUUAACAAGAAUGCAAAAAAGUUCUGCCAAUUGAAAGCCAAUCUAAAGUGUUAAAUUAAAUGUGACAAGGCAAGAGCCAACAACUAAGCGAAAGUUUAACGAAAAUGAUAACCUAAAACCCAAAAAGGUUAAAUUACAUCACAAAACUAGUCAAAAUAUAAAGCGAAAAAGUGACGAAAUAAAAUAGAGUUAGUGAUAAUAAUUGAUCACAUAAAAAAGAAAAAGAAACAACUUUUCUAUAUCCUUUACAUUUGUGCGUGUUUUACAAUUUUAUAAAACAAAACAAGUCAAGACUUAUGCUAUGAACUGGAUACUGCCUCAACAAUAAAAACAACAACAACUACUACAAAAAAACAACGUCCUAUAGUUUACGACCAGCCGAAGCAACAAUAGCAACAAAAAUCAUUCCAACUGAAACACAACAGAGCAGAGCGAAGAGUGAAUGAGAGAGAGCGAGAGCGAGAAGUCAAUCUGCAAUGAUUACUUAGUGGGCUAUUGCCCGCAAUCCAAGCGUAUACAACAAUACUAAAAGUACUUUAUAUAUUUAACAAAAAAAAAACAACAACAGAACAUGCUCAAAAUGGAUUCAUAUUGGUUCGUUUCAAAUGGAUUCAUAACGAAUUCAUUUUUGACUUACUUGUGUUUUUUAACCAAAAAACAAAGAGACACUGAGACAACAACAACAACAGCCAAUGCAGCAAACGACUGCAGCGAGGUAUUAGCAACAGCAACAACAACAACAAGCGGCUGCGCGUCUGGCAACAUUUGUUUGCUUUGCCGUCAAGUGUUGCCAGCAACAUGUUGCAGCAGUUCCAGCGCAACAUUCCAUGUUGCUGGCGUUGCGAAUGCAUGUUGCUGUCAAAAUAGUAGUAGUAAACAUACAAAUAGUAGUAGCAGCAGCAGUUGCAGCUGCAAUAGUAAUAGUACAAAUGACAAUAACCAAAAAUCAACAACAACAACAACAGCAACAAGUGCAGCAGGCAAUUGCUAUUGCAACAACAACAUGAA